CUACUCGACUCCUACGGGAGGCAGCAGUGGGGAAUAUUGCACAAUGGGGGAAAACCCUGAUGCAGCCAUGCCGCGUGUGUGAAGAAGGCCUUCGGGUUGUAAAAGCACUUUCAGUAGGGAGGAAGGUAGUGUAGUUAACACCUGCACUAUUUGACGUUACCUACAGAAAGAAGCACCGGCUAACUCCGUGCCAGCAGCCGCGGUAAUACGGAGGGUGCGAGCGUUAAUCGGAAUUACUGGGCGUAAAAGCGCAUGCAGGCGGCCUGUUAAGUCAGAUGUGAAAGCCCCGGGGCUUAACCUCGGAAUUGCAUUUGAAACUGGCAGGCUAGAGUCUUGUAGAGGGGGUAGAAUUUCAGGUGUAGCGGUGAAAUGCGUAGAGAUCUGAAGGAAUACCAGUGGCGAAGGCGGCCCCCUGGACAAAGACUGACGCUCAGAUGCGAAAGCGUGGGGAGCAAACAGGAUUAGAUACCCUGGUAG
rnacentral:rRNA from 1 species